UCCUUCACAGAGCCCAACGCCUCGCCAAGC
rnacentral:piRNA from 1 species